rnacentral:rRNA from 1 species
GAUGAACGCUAGCUACAGGCUUAACACAUGCAAGUCGAGGGGCAGCAUGGUCUUAGCUUGCUAAGGCCGAUGGCGACCGGCGCACGGAUGAGUAACACGUAUCCAACCUGCCGUCUACUCUUGGACAGCCUUCUGAAAGGAAGAUUAAUACAAGAUGGCGUCACGAGUCCGCAUGUUCACAUGAUUAAAGGUAUUCCGGUAGACGAUGGGGAUGCGUUCCAUUAGAUAGUAGGCGGGGUAACGGCCCACCUAGUCUUCGAUGGAUAGGGGUUCUGAGAGGAAGGUCCCCCACAUUGGAACUGAGACACGGUCCAAACUCCUACGGGAGGCAGCAGUGAGGAAUAUUGGUCAAUGGGCGAGAGCCUGAACCAGCCAAGUAGCGUGAAGGAUGACUGCCCUAUGGGUUGUAAACUUCUUUUAUAAAGGAAUAAAGUCGGGUAUGCAUACCCGUUUGCAUGUACUUUAUGAAUAAGGAUCGGCUAACUCCGUGCCAGCCGCCGCGGUAA